UACGGGGGGAGCAAGCGUUGUUCGGAUUUACUGGGCGUAAAGGGCGCGUAGGCGGCCAGCACAAGUCAGUUGUGAAAUCUCCGAGCUUAACUCGGAAAGGUCAACUGAUACUGUGCGGCUAGAGUGCGGAAGGGGCAACUGGAAUUCUUGGUGUGGCGGUGAAAUGCGUAGAUAUCGUAAGGAAGACCAGUGGCGAAGGCGGGUCUCUGGACAGUUCCGUGACGCU
rnacentral:rRNA from 1 species